GUGAGUUUAAGAGAACUGGCUUAAGAAACAAGGUUGUUUUGUUACUUCUAUCUCCUGGUGCUUUAAAAGCUCGGCCAAAAGGCAACAUGUUAGUCACUUCAGUAUGGAGAGAGAUACACAUUGUGUUUACAAUUCGUUUCUACCUUUCUCCCCCUUUGCCCCUUUUUCUCUCUGCCUUCAGUGUUAUACAGCCCAGGAUGGCCUGAAAUCCCUGCUCUUUCUGACUCAAUUACUGGAUUGACAGUCCUAUGCCAGGACAGCGGACACCUGGUUUUAUGCCACACUGGGGAUUGUACUCAGGACCUUAUGCAUGUCGGCUAGCAUUCUGCCAAACCAACCAUGUCCCCAUCUCUGAUUUUGUCUUUGAUUUUUAAUUGGUUUUGGUGUUUUUGAGAUAGGACCUGACUCUAACCUACAGAAUUUCAAACCAGGUAGCUGGAGACUGGCCACAAAUUCCCUGAAAAUUCCCCCAUCACAGCAUCCCAAGUUUCAGGGGUUUGUUUUGUUGUUUUACCCCAAGGCCAUAUUCUUUUCUUUUUUAAAAAAGUUAGGUAGAUGGGAUUGCUGGAUGGGGAUUGUCAAGAAAUGGGGAAAAGCCAUAAUAAAGAUAAUUUUCAGUGUGUUAUGCUGCUUAGGAACAGCAGGAAUGAAAGAAAAGAAAACUUAAUAAUGUUUUUCUUCUAUUCUUUUCUCUUAAUUUGUUAUUAAAAAGUGCCUACCCCAUUUCAUAUAGUGAGUGGCAGAAACAAUAUGCUCCAAGAGCUGAAAUAAUAGUGACAAUUAAAAUACAUGUUCAGACAAUGGCUAUUGUGUUGUAUGUCCAUAUACUUGAGAUAUCCCUCAAUCUACAUUAAUCCUAUUAUUUGAGAAUCCUACUAUUCCUAUGUUAUAAGUCAGAUAACUAAGAUUUGGAGAGAAUAAUUAAUUCAUGCAGUGUAAUGAAGCUAGUUAGUCACAAGCAUAAUAUUUGUACAUCAAUACAUUGUGUUACUUAGUUGUGGCUCUAGACUUUGUUGUGGCUAUGAUUUACUGUUUGCCCUGUAUAGAAAAUAUUUACAUAAACUUACGAUAAGACUAUAUCUUCCUGCACCCUUGUUUUAUACUUUUAAAGUAUUUUUUUGCUUUUUUAAACUUUUUAAUAUAUUUAUAGCUUUUAAAAAAGAUUUAUUUAUUUAUUUAUUUAUUUAUCUAUUUAUUUUAUGUGAGUACACUGUAGCUGUCUUCAGACAUAUCAGAAGAGGGCAUAGAAUCCUAUUACAGAUGGUUGUGAGCCACCAUGUGGUUGCUGGGAAUUGACCUCUAGAAGAGCAGCCAGUGCUCUUAACCACUAAGCCAUCUCUCUAGCCCAGCUUUUUUCUUUUCUUCUUCUCUUAUAUAUUACAUCCUAGCUAUGGUUUUCUCUUCUGCAGUCUCUCCCAGAUCAUCCGCUACCACCCCACCACCACCCCCAUCUUGCUCUUCCUCCCCUCAGAGAAGAGCAGGCCUCCCAGGGACAUCAUCCAAACUCAGCUGGACAAGGCAACCCAGUAAAAGGAAAAGGGUCACCCAAGUAGGCAAAAGCGUCAGGGACAGUGUCUCUGUCUAAUCUCCCCUCUCCCAUGGUAGUAUUCCCAUAAGCACACCGAGCUACACAUCCAUAAUUUGUAUGCAAAGGGCCUAGGUCAGAGCCCUCCAAGCUUCCUGAUCUCUCUGAAGCCCCAGGAGCCCUGGUCAGCUGAUUCUGUGGGCCAGAAGAUUGUAUCCUUAAUGGUUUUUGGUUUUUUGUUUUUGUUUGUUUGUUUGUUUGUUUGUUUGUUUAAUGAGGAUUUCCUAAUUCUGUCAUCAAGGAUUUUUGUUAGCUGGUUUAGAUUUGUUGUUUUGUUUUUGAAAGUUUGCUGUUUUGUUGUUUGGAGAUAGGGCCUUGCUGUCUAGACCCUUUGCCUGGCCCUUGCACUGCAUCUCGGCCUGCUGUGGAACUCAUCAUCUUUCUGCCUCAGUGUCCCAGGUGUUGAGAUUAUAGGCAUGUGUCAGCACACCCUUCCAGGCACGGUCUCAUGCAUGUCAGUCUGUCCUUAGACUUACUGCGAUACUCCCGUUCUUAUCUCCCUAGUUCUGGGAAAAUAAUGAUGGCAUUGCAGGCACACACUACCAUGCUGAGUUCAUUAUUUUUGACUUAGGCAAUUAAGUUCAUUUUCUACAAAUAAUGAAAGAUUUAGCAUCCCUAAAAUAAAUGUUAUUAUAAUUCAGCAGGACCAGCCACCCUUAUGUGAGAAGGGUGACCUUAUUCAAAUGAAAGUUGGUUUGGAAGAGGCUAUAUGAAAAUUGUUUGUAGAUUGUGGUGACCUCAGGUUAUGAAGGAACACUUGUGUCAACAUUAAGUGUGGAAACAUUUUCUUUGAAUCAGGGUUCCAGCAACCGAAUCAGGAGUUACAGAAAACUAGGCUGGUUUUUUUCCCCUUUCCUCCUCUGCCAGGAACACUCAUGCUAGUUAGAUGCUAUCUCUGUAAGUCCAUUAGCUAGCACAGUGUACAUAUAUAGUAGGGACCCAGUAAAAUAGCUUUAAUGUCCCUCUUUUCUGUUCCUCUCUCUCUUUGCCAUGGUCUGCCAAAUGUGUAAGUUAUUAAUUGAAGUUAGGUAAUAAUUAUUUGAGUACCUAUGACAUAAGAAACAUUGCAAUAAAUGUCAUGGGCUUUUGAAGUAAGUCCAGAAAAAUCACCCUAGACUUGAUUCCCACAGU
rnacentral:lncRNA from 1 species